rnacentral:rRNA from 1 species
GACGUAGGGCGCGAGCGUUGUCCGGAUUUAUUGGGCGUAAAGAGCUCGUAGGCGGUGUGUCGCGUCAGCCGUGAAAACCUGCAGCUCAACUGUGGGCUUGCGGUCGAUACGGGCAUCACUGGAGUUCGGCAGGGGAGACUGGAAUUCCUGGUGUAGCGGUGAAGUGCGCAGAUAUCAGGAGGAACACCGGUGGCGAAGGCGGGUCUCUGGGCAUGUCCUGACGCUGAGGAGCGAAAGUGUGGGGAGCGAACAGG